CGGGUCAAAGGAGCAAUUCGCUUGAGGAGGAGGUCGCGGCCGAUUAGUUAGUUGGUGAGGUAAAGGCUCACCAAGGCGACGAUCCCGUAGCUGGUCUGAGAGGACGACCAGCCACACUGGGACUGAGACACGGCCCAGACUCCUACGGGAGGCAGCAGUGGGGAAUCUUGGACGAUGGGCGAAAGCCUGACCGAGCAACGCCGCGUGAGCGAAGAAGGCCUUCGGGUUGUAAAGCUCAGUCACCCGGGAAGAGCGGGCAGGAGAGGGAAUGCUCCUGUCGAGACGGUACCGGGAGAGGGAGCCCCGGCUAACUACGUG
rnacentral:rRNA from 1 species